UCUUGCUUUUCUUCAGACCUUUCCCUUGAAGCCUUCUGGAACUCACCAGAGCGAAAAGGAGGCAGCUUGUUCAUUGCCUCUGUUGGAACAUACCCCAACAAUAUAAUAGAUGUUAUGGCACCACAAAUGACAAAGGAGAAUGGCUUCAGAACAACUCGGGAGGAUUUCUAUGAACUGAUGCAGAAUAAAGUGGGCAAGACCAGCAGAACUGUUUACACAAAGACUGCAACCUUGUAAAAGAAAGACUUAAUGAACUCUGAUCAGUACAAUGGCCAAUUACGACACUAGAAGAUUGAUAAAGAUGUGCUAGACACCUCUUGACACAAAGAGAAUCCACUAGAUUGCAGAAUAAGACAUGUGUUCUCAGAUGUUGCCAAGUGAACAGAUCCAGAGCCUUUGAUAAGGUAACAACAAUGCUGAAAAGAUAAAUGACUUUGGAAGCCAUAAGAACUCUGAGCAAAGCAGUGACUAACCACCAUGCCAGGGGAUGGAUGAUGACACCUGCCACCCUCCUCAUGACAGACAGAAAUCCUUCCUUGUGCCAGGCACUGAAUAUACAGGAAUGAAAAUCAUCCCACUCCAUGACAUCCAGGCACCGGUGAAAGGACAAGGGAUGCACAACCUGAAAAGGAGAAGAACCAGGAGAUGUGUGAUAGACAAUAUCAUCUUCAAGAUUUUGGUGGGUCACAUGGGAGAGAAAUUAGCUUUAUUCUGUUUGGCUCCAGAGGAUGAUAAAUGGCAGAG